rnacentral:tRNA from 1 species
AAUAAGUUGGCAGAUUAGUGCAUUUGAUUUAGAGUCAAAGUAUAAAUAAAUUUACUUAUUA